rnacentral:rRNA from 1 species
GACGAACGCUGGCGGCGUGCUUAACACAUGCAAGUCGAACGCUGAACCCGCUUCGGUGGGGGAUGAGUGGCGAACGGGUGAGUAACACGUGGGCAACCUGCCCCCGGCUCUGGGAUAACUCCAAGAAAUUGGGGCUAAUACCGGAUGUGACCGCUGGCCGCAUGGUCUGGUGGUGGAAAGGGUUUCCGGCUGGGGAUGGGCCCGCGGCCUAUCAGCUUGUUGGUGGGGUAGUGGCCUACCAAGGCGACGACGGGUAGCCGGCCUGAGAGGGUGACCGGCCACAGUGGGACUGAGACACGGCCCAGACUCCUACGGAAGGCAGCAGUGGGGAAUAGUGCGCAAUGGGCGGAAGCCUGACGCAGCGACGCCGCGUGGGGGAUGACGGCCUUCGGGUUGUAAACCUCUUUCAGCAGGGACGAAGCGCAAGUGACGGUACCUGCAGAAGAAGCACCGGCCAACUACGUG